rnacentral:pre_miRNA from 1 species
AAAAGUUGAUAAGUGCGAGAAUGUGGAUGUGAUAAUUUUUCAAACAAAAGAAUGGUAUUGUUUGAAAAAUUAUCACAUCCACAUUCUCGCACUUAUCA